rnacentral:rRNA from 1 species
CCUACGGGGGGCAGCAGUGAGGAAUAUUGGUCAAUGGGCUUACGCCUGAACCAGCCAAGUAGCGGGAGGGAAGACUGCCCUAUGGGUUGUAAACCUCUCUUGUCAGGGAGCAACGCCGGCUACGUGUAGCCUGACUGAGAGUACCUGAAGACAAAGCAUCGGCUAACUCCGUGCCAGCAGCCGCGGUAAUACCGAGGAUGCGAGCGUUAUCCGGAUUUAUUGGGUUAAAAGGGUGCGUAGGCGGAAUGCCAAGUCAGCGGUAAAAUCGCGGGGCUCAACCUCGCUCCGCCGUUGACACUGGCGUUCUGGAGUGGGCGAGAAGUAUGCGGAAUGCGUGGUGUAGCGGUGAAAUGCAUAGAUAGCACGCAGAACUCCGAUUGCGAAGGCAGCAUACCGGCGCCCAACUGACGCUGAAGCACGAAAGCGUGGGUAUCGAACAGGAUUAGAUACCCGGGUAGUC